UACAAUAUGUGUAAAAGUGAGUCAGUCAUAAUUGAUUGUAAAAUCAACUGUUCUUCAUAACCUCCAACGUCAAAUGAUAAUUGAAUACGUUGCCGUAUGAAAAAGUUGAGAAUUAUAGCGUUUUCUUUUCUCUGUUGUUGUUGUUGUAGAAAAAAGAAAAAAGAAUUCUGCCGAGUUGACCUUUCUUUUCUCUAAAAAAUGUCGAUUGAAUACUGCUCUAUGCCCGGGCUUUCAGAGUUGCAUGUUUUUCUCUAACAUUGCCUUCUAUACAGGCAUAAUACUGUUGCGAAUUUACUCCUUACUAGUUUACUUUACUAGGUUCGUAUCUCUGGAUUGACAAAUAAAACCAAAAGCCGUUUGAAUCAUUUUAACAAAAUCUCGUUAUUCCGCAAUUCGUCUACACUAUAGCAGUUUACUCCUGGCACUGCUUGGUUACGUUAGCGCUCCCACGGCUUAUAUAGCCACGCACUUCUCGCUGAUGCCGAAGUGUCCUUCUAGAAUAUUGCGUCUGGCAACUAUAAGAACAUAAUGCUAUGAGGCGCCAAAUGCAGCUAUUGUUUAAGUAGACAAACGCGGCGCACAAUGUUUAUAAGAAGGGAUGCAUACAGCAAUACAAAUACCAAACUUAAUACUACUUUUGUAAAAAUACUAUGUUCGGACCGACAUUGAAAACAUUUUGAAAACACAUUUGUAUGUUGUGGAACGUAAGUCGUUCGGACCGACAAUUUGUGUUUUCGCUGAGUUUUCACUGACAGCUCACAAAUUUAUUUGUUUGUUUACAUUUGAGCAAUGAGAAUGGUAAUUCUGAGAAAAAGAUGUUAAUUGCGAAAGCAUUGGCUUUGAGAAGCCAAAUAAAUAUCCUGCUCAUCGACAAUUCUUCAAGAGAACUAUUGGAAUGUCUUACUACUCAGCACCAUGCUGUGGCAAAAAAGAUAGCCGAGUUAAAGAAACAACAUCUAACCGGAUUAGAUUUAAUAAAGGACCUUGGGGCACAAUUCCGGUUUCUUUGGCGCCGCGAUCUGAAAGUACCGUUGGAAAGAGGAAGUCCACCUGAUUAAAAAAUAUAUAGAUUAUAGCAAACGCUUAGUUUUCGAGAUAUUCGACUUCAAAGUUCAAAAAUUCCCAAAAUUCGAACAUUUCAACAAGCUAUUUCCCCGCAUUAAACACACUUUUCGGACAUUUUUUACUUCAAAUUAAUUAAAUUAAACUAUAAACAUUUAAAUACAACCACAUUUUUCAAUUUUUGUAGAUUUUUACCUAAGAAAUCAUUAUUUUAAAAGUUACUUUUUACACUUGUAUUGAGCAUCAUUUAUGUGCUAAUAAUUAUAAGGAAAUGGAGCGCUGCCACAUGAUAAUAAGCUAAUAUGAGCAAUUCGCUGAAUUUCUCUAUUUUGAUAUAAUUCCUCUUUCUUUAUUUAGUAAUCUUAGUUCUAAUAAAAACAAGUGUGUCUAUAAAUUAUAUUUCAAAUUAAAAUGAGUAUAAAUAAUCUUUCCAUGCA